AACACUUUUUUCUUUCCAUAUGGGACAUGAGAGAUACAUAAAUAAUGUUAAAAGAAAAAAAGAAAGAAAAAAAAAGUUGACCCUUCUGGGGAUUGAACCCAUGGCCCUUAUUUUCAAUGUAGUUAACAGUAAUUCUAGCCUAUUUAAAUACUCUUCAAAGCGGAGAUAAUGCAUUAGGGUGCUAAUACCUUAAAUAAAUAUUAAGGUAAGUGCAUUUUUUAUUAUUUAUGCUGUUAUUGUACAUUAUUUUUUUCUGAUAUGUUGAAUAUGAAUAACCAUCGUAUUUUUACUUUAAACAAUUAAAUAAAUGGGACCAUGACACUUGAACUGGUUUAUAUAAAAAAACAUGGCAGGCAUCUGGGUCAGGUCAUGACAGACACAUUUUUUGGGAUACAUUGUUUAUUGCACUCGAUUUGUAUUUGUCAUGGUCUUUAUAGAAAGUUAUUGUUAACUUUUUUCUAAAUUAGACAUUGAUUACAUUACAAAAUAAAUUGAAGUCCAGGCUGCAAUGAAGGAAAAAAAGUAAAACAAAAGUUGCCACAAUUACAGUAUUUUUUCUACAUCACUAUGACAAAAAAUGUAACUGGACACAUAACAAUAUAUUUCGCAAUUUGUUUACAAUGAAUGAGCUUGAUAUAGAUCUACAUCAAGUAGAUUUAUACUGUAUAAAAUAUUUAUAAAAAAGGAAAUAUAUGACAAGGCUACAGUAGAUCUACUGUAAUAAUUGACAAAUGAAUUUCUAUUACAAUUCAAGAUCAAUUUAGUAAAGGAAAUGUUAUCCCUGUACUGCAUGCUGCUUUUGAAAAACAAUAAAUAGAUCUAGAACUGUGAUUGAAGAUGUCACCAUAGAUAAAUACUAAAAUGCAUUUAUUAUCAUUAGCCCUUUGCCUUUGGUAGUAGAUCUAUCUACAAUAAAUCAUAUUAUAUUCACAUUACUUAUACCACAUGGCAUAUUCUACCAGCAGGGCUUCCAUUAAGUUCCAAACAUUGGCAGUCAAAGACUGCAAAAUGUCUGUAAUUGGAAGUCACUUUGUAGGUAAAGGAGGAAAAGCAUUACAUUUUGGAAGCCAAAAUCAAUGAGUAAAUGACUCCCAAACUUUAACUAACAGAAGCCCUGCUACCAGAUAUUUUAACAUUUAUGAGCAAGCACUUUUUGCUGAAGAAAUAUUUUGUGUUGUUGUUUUAGGUCUGACAGCCAACAAUAAGAACAUACAUUUAAGAUCUUCAACUUAGUUCAUCAGAGUUUUGAAGUAGAUAAUAUGAUUAUCCAGCAUGUUGGAGCCAUAUUUCUUCAAGGAAACGUACUGAAGACAUAGAUAGUUCACCUAUUUGCUGUCAGAUUAAUAUACUAAACUAUUGUUGGAAAUGAGGCACAAUGUGUGACAUAGUUCUAUGCCCUAUUGAGCACCAGGGUUAUGGAGUAAAAAAGACAAUCACUUGUAUCAACUGUACUGUAUUGGUCAAGAUAAAAAACACUUCAAUUGGGAUGGCAUGUGAGAAGUCAAUGACUUGUCUAUGUUUGACAGUAUACCAAAAGUGAAUUACAUUCUCAAAAAAAUUGUCUUUAGAAGUAUCCCUGAAAAAGCUGAAUACUGCAGUAUUUUUACGUAAUUGUGAAACAAGUUUUUGCAAGUUUUAUAUAUGAAUCACUUUUUGCUUACAAAACCUGAAGGCAUAUGAGGAGACAUAGUUGCUAUUACCCUGUUUGGGUCAAACCCUCAACAUGGGGUUGCAAGACUAUUAUUCAAGGACAUAAGUGAGCUGUCAUUUGUGACUUCCCAUGUGAUUGCAAGACUCUGCUAUUGUAAUUGUUUUAAAUUCUGUCAUUUUAUUCAUUGAAAUUAUUUCAAUUUAAAAAUAUACUAAUAUGUUAUUCAUAUUAUACAAUUUAAAAUACACUGAUCAGAAUAUGAUUACACUGUCAAUAUCUGUAACUGAAAAUUUAGUCAGGAACAUAACUAGUGCAAGCUCUUUCUAUUUUUUUUUUUUGGUAAAUUUCUGAAAGACCUUUGUUCAAAGUUAUUGUGAAAUGGAAUAUUUUUUUAUAAAAUGCAAUUAUUUUAAAUCAUUCAGUUAUUUUUGCAUUGUUUUGUUACCAUGGCAACCAAAAUACACCAUUUUUGCAAUCAGUGCAUUAAAGAAUAUUUGUUUUGGAUUGGAUUCAUAUUUUAUAUGCUAUCAUGUUAUAGAUGUGCAUUUUAAAGUUGACUAACUUAAGAUAUGAUAUUCACCUUA